CUCCGCCGGCGACCGGCGCACGGGUGAGUAACACGUAUGCAACCUGCCCCUGUCAGGGGGACAACCCGCCGAAAGGCGGGCUAAACCCGCGUACAUGCCACCGGGGCAUCCCGGAGGCAGGAAAGGCUUCGGCCGGACAGGGAUGGGCAUGCGGCGCAUUAGGCAGUAGGCGGGGUAACGGCCCACCUAACCGACGAUGCGUAGGGGUUCUGAGAGGGCGGACGGCCACACUGGGACUGAGACACGGCCCAGACUCCUACGGAAGGCAGCAG
rnacentral:rRNA from 1 species